GGUCUAUUGAUUUUGAAAAAAUGUAUUAAAAUGUUUGUAAAAAUUUAAAAAUCCCAUUAAUUGGUCAAUUCAUCAAUUUUAGUAGUUAAAUGUUUUAAUAUUUAAUUCUUGUGGUAUAGAAAAGUUCAUUAAUAUUAUGAAGCCUUUUGUAGUUUGGUUGCGAGUGAUGUGGCGGUCGAUCUCCAAAUGCUUCAUUCUUUCGAGAAAGACAAGGAUAUUAAGGAAAGUCCGAGAAAGAUGUAAAACCCAGUCAAUGACUUUUUGAAGGUGAGACAGGCAACCCAAUCAGAGUCGCAUAAGGCAAAGAUUUGAAAAUUAGCAGAUGCAAGGAAGAAAAGGCCUUUCUGUGAAUUGCCUUUGAGAUAUCAUAUUACAUCUAGAGCAGCAUCAAAAUGAGGCUUCCUAAGUGUCUAUAUUUAUUGCCUGAGCUACUGUGUGGAGUAGGUGAUUUCGGGUCAUAUGAGUCCGAGGUACAACAAGCAGCCCACUAACCUUUUGUACUGUUCCGGAUUAGGUUUGAAGCUGAAUGUACUAAAACGAACCAAUGAAGGCUAUUUUAGAGUUGUUUGGGACUGAGAGAUUCUGUCUUGCUUAAGACUAAACCCAAGCUCAAAUGGACAGACAGUAGGGAUUUACCUUUGACAGUUGUACAAAUUUAAAAUAUUUUUUGUUAGCUGUAAAUGUGUUCAGAUCGAUGAUUAUGAUGACAACAAUAGAAGAAUUUCUUGAUUUCUUUUAUUUCUUUUAAAUUUGAACUUUAUCUUUUAGUUUG